CAGGGGACGGUACUCCACGUCCUCUCGGAGCAGGCGGUUGUCAUUCAGGGUGUAUUUGGCUUUGCCAGUCACGCUGUCUACCGGCCCCUUGUCCACUUGAUGCUUAAUUCCACGGAAAAGCAUGUACAGAGGCUCCCCUACCGAGUCCUGGGAGAGUGGCGGGCAGGUAGGACACCCGGGGCAGGGGACAAGCAUGGGAUGGAGGUGCUGGGGGAGGGGACAGGAUGCUGGCCGCAGAAGGCUUAAGGUGGCUGAGGACAUACUGGGCAGGGGUGCCCAAGCUGUGCUGGGACAAGAAGCUGUGUGGUUCAGAGUCCUGACUCUCCCUGGAGGGGAGCCCCACCCACCUCUGCCUCACUCACCCUCACGAAGGUGUAGAGGCAGAUAGACAUCCAGUUGGUGAGCAGCUUCUCCACCACGGUCUCUGUCCUGGGAUGACAGGAAAGAGCGGGCAGAGUCAGCAGGUGGGGACCCAGGGCUUUCUAUUCUUCAGACCCCAGGCCCCAGAAGGCCUGACCCAGGUCUUGGCUCCAGCUGUCCACAGCCACCUGGCCCCCGUAGCGUCUUACGGGCAUACAGACCUGCGCAGCAUCAGCUUGGGGUUCUUGGCCACGUACUGGGCCACCAGGUCACUGAGCAGGGUGCGCAGGAUGUCAGUGAAGUACUCAAGCUUCCCGUGCAGUGCCACGGUGAGCAGAGAUGCCACGUAGGCGCGGUCCCGAGCUGAGAAGGUGCGCUGGCUCUCCAGGGUGUGGAUGAACUGGCGCCAGGGAGAGGGGAUGGGUGGGUGGGGAGGGCAGAUUCAGAAACGGAGGGACUGAGAAGGGAUGGGGCUGGAGGGUAGGGGGACCCCCUCCCCACCCCUGGAGGGCCCAGAUAGGGGGUGGGGCCGGCACCUUGAUGAGGAAGAGCUUGCUGUUAAGCAGGUUGGAAAGCUGCCCCAGCCCUUGUUCCACAGUGGGUCGCCUGCUCUCAGGCACGCCCAAGUCCCGGUGCAAGGGUGACUCCUGGUGCCCAGGGAAGAAGACCCUCUCGGCAUACACCUUGUAGUCGAGGAAGGGGAUGCCGCUGCCCAGAAGGUCACUGCGGUCCCGCACGCUGCUCUCCAGAUUCUCCAGCUGGAUCUGCACCUUCUUAUAGUCCCUCAGAGCCUGCUUGCUCUUCCUCCUGCUCAGCACCAAGGUCAGGGCAGGGAAGGCCAGAGGAGGCCCGAGCCCUUGCUGGGUCCCACCGGGCCCAGGCCUGCCCAGGCCAGCACAGUCUAACCCUGCCAUGCCCAGCCAAGCCAGGACCUAGUCAGAAUAAUUCAGCCUGUCCCAUCCCAGGCAAGUCACGCCCACCCACGACGCAUCUAGCCCAAGGAUCAGCAAACUAUAACACGGCCAAAUCUGGCCCCUGGCCUGUUUUUGUAAAUAAAGAUUUGUUGGAACACA